rnacentral:snRNA from 1 species
AUCGCUUCUCAGCCUUUUGACUAAGAUCAAGCAUAGUAUCAGUUUAAUAUCUGAUAUGUUCUCUAUCCGGAGGACAAUACAUUAAAUAGAUUUUUUGGAACACAGAGAUGGACUAGGAGCGUGCGCCUUCCACUCCAUACAUCAACCUGGUAUUACAGUACUUCCAGGAACGGUGCACCAAAA